rnacentral:rRNA from 1 species
GACGAACGCUGGCGGCGUGCCUAAUACAUGCAAGUCGAACGCAGUGGGGACGGGUGAGUAACACGUGGGUAACCUCCCAUCAGAGGGGAUAACACUUGGAAACAGGUGCUAAACCGAUACUGAUGUCUUGACCGGCGGUGCAUUAGCUAGUUGGGGAGGUAACGGCUCACCAGGGCCACGAUGCAUAGACGACCGGAGAGGGUGAUCGGCCACACGGGGACGGAGACACGGCCCAUACGCCUGCGGGAGGCAGCAGUGGGGAAUCUGCGGCAAUGGACGAAAGUCUGACCGAGCAAGGCGGCGUGAGUGAAGAAGGUUUUCGGAUCGUAAAACUCUGUUGUUAGAGAAGCGGUAUCUAACCAGAAAGCCACGGCUAACUACGUGCCAGCAGCCGCGGUAAUUC